CCAGAAGGUCAGGACUCUGACUGGGCCACUCCAGAAGGUCAGGACUCUGACUGGGCCACUCCAGAAGGUCAGGACUCUGACUGGGCCGCUCCAGAAGGUCAGGACUCUGACUGGGCCACUCCAGAAGGCGUAUUUUCUUCUGUUCAUGCUAUUCUGUGUUUUGGGUCAUUAUCCUGUUGCAUCACCCAACUUCUGGGUGAUGUCCUGUUGAGCUUCAAUCGGCAGACAGAUAGCCUUACAUUCUCCUGCAAAAUGUCUUGACAAACUUGGGACAUCUGUCGAUGAUAGCAAGCUGUCCAGGCCCUGCGGCAGCAAAGCAGCCCCAAACCAUGAUGCUCCCUCAACCUUACUUUACAGUUGGGAUGAGGUUUGGAUGUUGGUGUGCUGUGCCUUUUUUUCUCCACACAUAGUGUUGUGUGUUCCUUCCAAACAACACAACUUUAGUAUCAUCUGUCCACAGAAUAUUCUGCCAGUAGCGCUGUGGAACAGCUUCUGACGUGCAGCAAUGUUUUUCUUUGGACAGCAGUGGCUUCUUCUGUGAUUCCCUCCCAUGAACACCGUUCUUGUUUAGUGUUUUAUGUAUCGUAGACUCGUCAACAGAGAUGUUAGCAUGGUCUAGAGAGUUCUGUAAGUCUUUCGCUGACACUCUAGGAUUCUUCUUAACCUCAUUGAGCAUUCUACUCUGUGCUCUUGCAGUCGUCUUUGCAGGACGGCCACUCCUAGGGAGAGAAGCAACAGUGCUGAACUUUCUCCAUUUAUAGACAAUUUUUCUUACCGUGGACUGAUGAACAUCAAGGCUUUUAGAGAUACUUUUGUAAUCCUUUCCAGCUCCAUCCACGUCAACUAUUCUUAAUCUUAGGUCUUCUGAGAUCUCUUUUGUUCGAGUCAUGGUUCACAUCAAGCAAUGCUUCUUGUGAAUAGCAAACUCAAAUUUUGUGAGUGUUUUUGAUAGGGCAGGGCAGCUCUAACCAAGAUCUCCAAUCUCAUCUCAGUGAUUGUACUCCAGGUUAGCUGACUCCUGACUCCAAUUAGUUUUUGGAGAAGACAUUAGCCUAGGGGUUCACAUACUUUUUCCAAC
ensembl:lncRNA